GAUGAACGCUGGCGGCGUGCCUAAUACAUGCAAGUCGAGCGAACAGGCGAGGAGCUUGCUCCUCUGACGUUAGCGGCGGACGGGUGAGUAACACGUGGAUAACCUACCUAUAAGACUGGGAUAACUUCGGGAAACCGGAGCUAAUACCGGAUAAUAUAUUGAACCGCAUGGUUCAAUAGUGAAAGACGGUUUUGCUGUCACUUAUAGAUGGAUCCGCGCCGCAUUAGCUAGUUGGUAAGGUAACGGCUUACCAAGGCAACGAUGCGUAGCCGACCUGAGAGGGUGAUCGGCCACACUGGAACUGAGACACGGUCCAGACUCCUACGGGAGGCAGCAGUAGGGAAUCUUCCGCAAUGGGCGAAAGCCUGACGGAGCAACGCCGCGUGAGUGAUGAAGGUCUUCGGAUCGUAAAACUCUGUUAUUAGGGAAGAACAAAUGUGUAAGUAACUAUGCACGUCUUGACGGUACCUAACCAGAAAGCCACGGCUAACUACGUG
rnacentral:rRNA from 1 species